rnacentral:rRNA from 1 species
UACGUAGGGUGCAAGCGUUAAUCGGAAUUACUGGGCGUAAAGCGUGCGCAGGCGGUUUUGUAAGACAGAUGUGAAAUCCCCGGGCUCAACCUGGGAAUUGCAUUUGUGACUGUACGGCUAGAGUGUGUCAGAGGGGGGUAGAAUUCCACGUGUAGCAGUGAAAUGCGUAGAGAUGUGGAGGAAUACCGAUGGCGAAGGCAGCCCCCUGGGAUAACACUGACGCUCAUGCACGAAAGCGUGGGGAGCAAACAGG